CUCUCUCGACGCCACAUCUCUCUCGACGGCGCUUCUCUCUCAACGGUUCUCUUCUCGUUGAUUUUGAUCGCAGUCCAGAGGAUCUGUUGUUUCAUCCACAGCUUUUUCUGCGAUUCAAAGGUGAAUAAUCUACCUGUUUUGCUGAAGUUAAUAACUUCAUCGGGAGUAUCUUCGAUCCUGACAGCAAAGGCCGCAUGAAAAAGCUCAAGGAAAUGGAUCCUAUAAAUUUCGAAACUGUACUGAUAUUGAUGAGAAACCUCACAGUGAAUAUGUCAAAUCCUGAUUUCGAACCUUCUUCUGAUGUUGCAGAGGAAGGUUCAUAACACUUAAGCUCUUAGCUCUUGUAUGGGAUCUUUGGCCAAGAACCAAACAAGUGAUAUAUCUUUCUUGAUGGGCUUCUUGCUCACAACAACUGUGUAUAUCAACUGAUAUAUAUAUAUUUAUUUGUUCAUGCGUUUUGUAAUUUGUAGUUUUCUUUAUUGGUUAUUUCUUGUCAUAUAUUGAAACCAAAGGCAAUGUAUCAGCUAGCAAAUGCCACUAAAUUCAUAAAGAGACACAUGAGUCUGUUUGUAUCUUAUUAAAAGUCCUACCAAUAAUCAACUCUUUUGUGAUUGUCCUUAA